UCCCUGGUGGUCCAGCAGUUAAGACUCUGCCCUCCCAAUGCAGGGGGCCUGGGUUCCAUCCCUGGUCAGGGAA
rnacentral:tRNA from 1 species